rnacentral:rRNA from 1 species
UGCCAGACUCCUACGGGAGGCAGCAGUGGGGAAUAUUGCACAAUGGGGGAAACCCUGAUGCAGCGACGCCGCGUGAGUGAAGAAGUAUUUCGGUAUGUAAAGCUCUAUCAGCAGGAACGAGACAAGACGGUACCUGACUAAGAAGCCCCGGCUAACUACGUGCCAGCAGCCGCGGUAAUACGUAGGGGGCAAGCGUUAUCCGGAAUCACUGGGUGUAAAGGGAGCGUAGACGGCUGUGCAAGCCUGAAGUGAAAUGCCGGGGCUUAACCCCGGAACUGCUUUGGAAACUGUGCAGCUAGAGUGCAGGAGAGGUAAGGGGAAUUCCUAGUGGAGCGGUGAAAUGCGUAGAUAUUAGGAGGAACACCAGGGGCGAAGGCGGCUUACUGGACUGUAACUGACGUUGAGGCUCGAAAGCGGGGGGAGCAAACAGGAUUAGAUACCCCCGUAC